rnacentral:rRNA from 1 species
AACGAACGCUGGCGGCAGGCUUAACACAUGCAAGUCGAACGCCCCGCAAGGGGAGUGGCAGACGGGUGAGUAACGCGUGGGAACAUACCCUUUCCUGCGGAAUAGCUCCGGGAAACUGGAAUUAAUACCGUAUGUGCCCUUCGGGGGAAAGAUUUAUCGGUAAAGGAUCGGCCCGCGUUGGAUUAGCUAGUUGGUGGGGUAAAGGCCUACCAAGGCGACGAUCCAUAGCUGGUCUGAGAGGAUGAUCAGCCACAUUGGGACUGAGACACGGCCCAAACUCCUACGGGAGGCAGCAGUGGGGAAUAUUGGACAAUGGGCGCAAGCCUGAUCCAGCCAUGCCGCGUGAGUGAUGAAGGCCUUAGGGUUGUAAAGCUCUUUCAGUAGGGAAGAUAAUGACGGUACCUACAGAAGAAGCCCCGGCUAACUUCGUGCCAGCCGCCGCGGUAACAC